AGAACGAACGCUGGCGGCAUGCCUAACACAUGCAAGUCGAACGUGAUCCAGGCUUCGGCCUGGUGAAAGUGGCAGACGGGUGAGUAACGCGUGGGAACCUGCCCUGUGGUAGGGAAUAACCGUGGGAAACUGCGGCUAAUACCCUAUGAGUCCUUCGGGAGAAAGAUUUAUCGCCAUAGGAGGGGCCCGCGUCGGAUUAGGUAGUUGGUGGGGUAACGGCCUACCAAGCCUUCGAUCCGUAGCUGGUCUGAGAGGAUGAUCAGCCACACUGGGACUGAGAUACGGCCCAGACUCCUACGGGAGGCAGCAGUGGGGAAUAUUGGACAAUGGGGGCAACCCUGAUCCAGCAAUGCCGCGUGGAUGAUGAAGGCCUUCGGGUUGUAAAGUCCGUUUCGGCGGGGAAGAUGAUGACGGUACCCGCAGGAAGAACGCCCCGGCUAACGUUCGCGCCAGCAGCCGC
rnacentral:rRNA from 1 species